CUCCUCCCGCUGCAAACGCGCGAACUUCUGUGGCUCGAUCCCAGUGCGCACUCCUCCCAGUGCACUGGCCGGUUGGAGUUUUGCCAGGGAGGCCUUCCCACCUGCCUGUCUCAAUGGAAAGAAUAUGUGGAUUUGGAUUCAGGGACACCUUUAUCACCUAUGUGACUUUAGGAGUCAAUGAAGCAAGUUCAUGAGACUCUGAGGCAAGGACACCAAACCAGGGGUUUUAGCUCCUACCCAUGGUACUGGCUAAUAUAUCUGACCACACUGGCUCUGCAAGACCAUGGCUGAAGACUGCUUAAAUGUUGUCCCUGAGUCAAUAUCUUAACAUUUAUUGCAUCUUUUAUUUUCUUAACAAAAAUGAAGGCAUUUGUGACUGUGUUGUUUUCCAUCAAAAAUUGGGAAUCAUGCCCUUUCAUACAACACAGUUGUGACACAAUUUGUUGAAGUGAAAGAACACUGGAACAGAAACAAGAAUACCUGAGAUGGAGACUCACCUCUUACCAUCAAUCUAGUGUUGACUUUGGGUCCAUCUUUUCUUCUGGGGUAGUAGAAAGAUCAAGAUCAUCAGAGAACGUAGGGUGCAAUAUCAGCUCUCCAGUACCAAACACGGUUCAUUAACCUCUCGGAACCUCAGGUGUCUUGGGGCAUAGUUCAUGUCUCCUGGCCCAUCUCACAGGAUUAUCAGGAGGACGAAUGAGAUAAUUCUCAGGCUAAAGAAAAUAUCACCUAAUGCUUCUGAUAUACAGAAUUGUGUGCUGCAAAUGGUUGAAAAGAUUUUAGUUUCAACACCUAAUUCCCAUCAUUCUGUGGCAAAAUAUAUCUUGAGUUCUGAUGGGCGCCAGAACAACAUCUGAAGAUUGAAUGAAACUUCUAAAGGUGAGUGAUAACAAGGCCCGUCCUGUACUUCACAGAAGACUUCUGAGGGUCAAAGAGAAGAUUUAUA
rnacentral:lncRNA from 1 species